rnacentral:rRNA from 1 species
UGGAUCCAGACUUUGAUCAGGCUCAGGAUAAACGCUGGCGGCGCACAUAAGACAUGCAAGUCGAACGGACUUAACCAUUAGUUUACUAUUGGAGCGGUUAGUGGCGGACUGGUGAGUAACACGUAAGUAACCUGCCUAUCAGAGGGGAACAACAGUUAGAAAUGACUGCUAAUACCGCAUAUGCCUUGAGUAUCACAUGAUACAAAAGGGAAAGGAGCAAUCCGCUGAUAGACGGGCUUGCGUCUGAUUAGAUAGUUGGUGGGGUAACGGCCUACCAAGUCGACGAUCAGUAGCCGGACUGAGAGGUUGAACGGCCACAUUGGGACUGAGAUACGGCCCAGACUCCUACGGGAGGCAGCAGUCGGGAAUAUUGCGCAAUGGAGGAAACUCUGACGCAGUGACGCCGCGUGCAGGAAGAAGGUUUUCGGAUCGUAAACUGCUUUAGACAGGGAAGAAUAAAGACAGUACCUGUAGAAUAAGCUCCGGCUAACUACGUGCCAGCAGCCGCGGUAAUACGUAGGGAGCAAGCGUUAUCCGGAUUUAUUGGGUGUAAAGGGUGCGUAGACGGGAAAACAAGUUAGUUGUGAAAUCCCUCGGCUUAACUGAGGAACUGCAACUAAAACUAUUUUUCUUGAGUGUUGGAGAGGAAAGUGGAAUUCCUAGUGUAGCGGUGAAAUGCGUAGAUAUUAGGAGGAACACCGGUGGCGAAGGCGACUUUCUGGACAAUAACUGACGUUGAGGCACGAAAGUGUGGGGAGCAAACAGGAUUAGAUACCCUGGUAGUCCACACCGUAAACGAUGGAUACUAGGUGUAGGGUGUGAUAAACAUUCUGUGCCGUCGCAAACGCAGUAAGUAUCCCACCUGGGGAGUACGGCCGCAAGGUUGCAACUCAAAUGAAUUGACGGA